CACCCACUCUCCCCUCGUCUGCUGGAUUAUAUUGUGGCAUAAAAUUAAUUUCUGCCCCAAUGAUUGUGCCACAGUUGCCAAGGUAACCGUGGAGCUGGAGCUAACUCCCUUCUCUCACCCUUCCCAAGUUUUCUAUUUCACUAGGCAGAAUAACGUAGUCUGUGCUACAUCCUGCCUUUUGAAACCUAAAUGAGUUUUGGUUGAAGAAAUAUUGCCUUCUCUGAUUCAUUCAUGAAACUGUGGUGGCCCUGACGGCCUGUGACUAGGUAGCAAUAAUACUUCGUGAUCAUUUGAAUUGGACAAAAUAGCAGGUGGUGGAGGGAAGUAGAUAAGAAUGUAUUAGCUCAUUUUAAUGUAAUACUGAUUAAAGAAUAACUAAACAACUCUGAUUUCGUUUCCUUAUACGUAAUGUAUUAAAAGCCAUGUGUGGCUGCCUCAAGAACCUCGAACGCAUGAAAUCAUUCUUUGUCCAAACUUAGAAAGGGUUGACUGUCUGGGCACAUGGCAUCGGCGCUGACCUAACCCAGCAAACCAACUCUUGCCUCGUAUCUCGUCCAAGUUGUCUCAUGGAAUCCAAAUGCUUCUACCUCUCUCCAUAUUGUUGCGCUUUGGUCAACAGCAAACACCCCUCCCCUCUCCUUGUUUUUGAGAGGACAAGAUAGGCAGAGGUUUUUCUCAGCAUCACUUUUGGCGGAAAGAAUAUCUGACUGUCCUAAGGAUCCAGAGAACAGAAAUAAGAGCCGCUGCCAUACGCAGUUCUUCAUCUUGCAGUGAAGAACAGCAAAAUUGAUACUACCAUGAGCAACUUAUUUUCCAUGGACGCUAAGCUGAUCAUUAAACCUAUCCAAUCUUUCAGUUAUCCUAAAUUCUCAGCUCUGCUUCAAGCAAAUUUCAUUGCCACAUUGACCAAAAUGAUAAAGAAAUGUCAUUGAAAAGCAAUGGUAAUGUCAUUUACUAUAAAAAUAAUAUAUGUUAUCUGAAUUUUAUUCUUCAUUGUAAAGUAGAUUUUAGCAGAAUAUUAUUUUAACUGAAAUGUCUCAUAUUUUAAUGCAGCAUUCAUCAUCUGAGUUUUCAUGAUGACAAAAACCAGGCAAAAAUUUCCAGUACUUAAUAAGUUAAUAACUAAAUGAAGAAAUCCUAUUUAAUCUAGCUAAACUUCGAGUUUAUAAUUGUAUUACUGCAUACUAAAUUAAGUUGAAUGUCUGUCUGCUCCAGAAUAAAUUAUAUCAUAUGAUUGAGACAUGGCCUCACAUAUUAUCAAAUCAGCAAAGGGUAAGCAAACAGUAAGCAUUUUCAAAAAAUAUAUAGACUGUGGAGGGAAAAGAUAUCAACAAAAUCCUAUGUUUAUUAACUCAGAAACAGUAUUUUGGAAAACUAUUCUCUGGGAUAUAUAUGCCUCUAUAAGGAUGUAUUUGGGAUUGCUAAAAACUACAAGCUGUCUUCCACAAGAGGAAGCAGCAUUUAGAAAGUUCUUAAAUUGUGACCUAAUAUGUGUCUAAAGGCUAAUGAUUUCACGUAGGGCUUGUCUUGGUUAGAAGGACUCACAUGAAGCUACAACAGGGACGUUUGCCCCACCUGAGCCUGUGGUCAAGGCAAAACCUUGAUAAAGAUGCCGAGGCUUUUUAACACUGGCUGGAAAUGAAAGGAACUGGGCUGCACACCUCUGCCCUAUCCAUGGAUGAGAAUAUAGCCCCUUCUCUGCUCAAAAAACUGCAACACUACCCUUUCCACUCAGAAUAAAAGCCUGAGCUCCCCCUUCAUCCCUCCAUUUCACCCCCCCCACCACCACCACCACCUCCUUGCUGACCUCGCACAUACUAGGCACACUCACAUUUCUGGCCUUCCCACUGGCUGUUCCCUUGCCUGGAAAUCCUUCCCCAUGGCCUCACAGCUAACUCCUCCUCCUUGAAGUCUUUGCUCAAAUGUCACCUUCUCAAUGAGGUCUCCGCUGACUGCACCUGCCCACAUGGACUCACAAUCCUUCCUCUGCUCAAAUUUUCCUCUCCUCCUAGCAUUUAUAUUAUAUAAUUUAUUUAUUAGGCUCAGUGUUUAUAGUCUGGCUCUAGAAAUAUAAAUUCCAUGACAUCGGAGAUCUCUGUCUAUCUUGUUUAUUGAUGUAUUCCAAGCAUUUAGAAGAGAGGGUCUGGCACAUGGUAGAUUGCUCAAUAAACCUUCGAUGAAUAAAUGAAUGAAUUCACAUGAUAGGUGCCUAAUUAAGUUAUGCUAUCAGAGAGAUUAGUUAAAAGCAAUGUAUAAUAAUGAUAUCAAUUUGAUGAUACACCAAAAGCAUACGUUUAUUGAGUACGUACUGCAGAUUAAGUACAUUCAAAGCGUUUUACAUAGAUAAUCUCAUCUAAUGCUCAUGACAAUCCCAUGAGGUUGGUUAUCUAUGUUUAUCGCCACUGUAGAGUCAAGGUUAAUUAAGUAAUUUGCCCCAAGUCACAAACAAGGAAGUGAUGGAGCUGGGAUUUAAAGUCAUGCAAGAGUCCUCAUGCUUAACCGUGGGGAUCACCUUCAUCCACUAGGCAUUGGGCUCUCUUGCCAAUCAUGUCUCUGUCUAUGGACAUGGGCUCCACAUGGUGCAGCAAUCCAGCUUCAGUUUAUUUCCUGGUUAUUUGUUAACUUGGUUGCAUUAGCACUCCUCUGAUUAGUCCAUGUGAGAUCAUAAAGUAUUUCUAUUCACAAGAUGUGCAUUCACAAGUACAAAGUGGACCCUGGACCAGAGAUGAGUGGGACAAUGGAUCUAACUGGGGGACACCAAUAAGGUGAGCAUGACUAGUGUUGAGUGGUGUGAGGGUCCCUGAGUGGGAGGGAGACAAGAAGACAAUCUGAAAAUCCAGGAGGACUCACCCAGGGUGGGAGCAGGAUGUACUAUGAGCAACUGAAAGAGUACCUAAGAAAUUUCUAGGUCUUGCUCCUUGCUGUGAAAUGGGAAAAAAGCAUGCAUUUUAUUCAUCCUUGUAGGGAAACAAGCAGACUUUUAAGAAUUAAUAAGCAGAAUCACCAAAAGCAGAAGAUCUUAGUUUGACAAUAAGAGGUUUGUAGAACUGUUAAUAUUUUUGCUAAUUUUUCUGCUCUACUAAAAAAAUUCUUCAGCCAUGAUAUAAAAUAUGAACAAUUAGACAUAUGCAACGAGAGUCUAGAGCAAGGUGUAGCUGUGAAAUUUAUUAAUGCAUAUAAUCCAUAAACUAAAUUUAGAAAUAAAUAGGAAUUACAUUACAUUGUAAAGCAACAUCCAUUCCAUCCACCUGACUUGUACAGCAUCCUUUCAGGUCACCAAGAGUUAUGCAGACCAUAAAUGUUCUCCGGUUCCUGGUUCCAUCGGGGGAUCUUUAAUAUGUCAGGACAUAAUGCCAGUCUAUGUUUUAAGGUGGGAUGAAAUAAGUAUGCUGUGAGGGAAUGAAUGACUUUUAUCUUCCCAUUCCUAGGGCUUCAUGGAUGCUGUCCACGAAAAGGUUCAACUACAGAACAUAGAAGGAGGCAGCAUUUGUUAAAAGAGGAGCAAGUAGGGGUGUUUGUUUGUUGUUUGUUUGUUUUUUAAUAGUGAACCAUUAGAUUCAGCAACUAUUGAACCAUGGAAGAUAAAGAAAAUUUAUUCAAAAGGCAAGCCCCAUUUCACACUCCCAAGAAUAAUUUUUUAAGACAUUUCCAACCCUAGCACAAGCUUUUUAAGGUUGUGCAGAUAAACAUAAGGUGUAGCUUUGGUAUUAAGCACUGGCAGGGCAUUAUCUGGACAUUGGAUUCAGCUAAACCCUCUGAGCUUAUGGGUUUGAAAUAAAAGAAAUAAAAAAUGGCAAAUCCAGAAAGUCCCUUAAGAGCUGCAAGCUAAUGAUUGCCAUGUUGUCUGUGUUCAUUCAGAAGAAAGAUUAUGCUGCCCUUGGGCUCAUUCUGUUUAAUUGGAAUUUUCAUUAUCUCUCUUAAGUGACUGCAGAAAGUGACUUGGAUAGAGAAAUGUGGAAGAAAGGGACUCAAGUUUCUCAUCCACUAACAAGAGGAAGGGAAGACAAAUGAAAUGUGGAGACUGAAUGUCAGUCGCAUGCUGGGGAGCAAUGGUGACUCACCCAGGGACAGUCGCUGCUUUCAUUUAGUGCUAGGCAACCUGCCAAGUAUUUUACUUGGGUUAUCAGACUUAAUCUUCACCACAACCUUAUGAGAAUGUUCACCUGCUACCCUGGGGACAAAGCUUCUUUCACCAUGAGGAUCAUAAAAUUAGUUGCCCCUGAAAAGCCCAAAGGAACCUUGGAAGGCAAUGAUGAGGAAAGUAUACAAGAUGAAAUGAAUGCUUUCUUCACAGCAUAGAUAGGGUGAGUCUGAUGAAAAUGCCAGUGAAAGCUAUGGUCAUCAAUUUGAUGGGUCAAAGGGAGGAAACAUGGGCUCCCUGCUCCUGCCGCAGGUGGUAACGAGGCCACUGUCUGGGGAAUGCAGCCUGACUGCCGAAGGUAAGAACAGUCAGAGGAACAGGAGAGCUCGUGCGCCUUUGAUUCAGAGGGAUUCACACCUUCCAAUUAUCCAAUAAAACAGUUUCAUUCCUAACCAGACUUAAUCUUCCAAGGAAGACAAGUACAAGAGUCCUCCCUUACCUGUGGGGUAUGUGCUCCAAGACCCCCAGUGGAUGCCUGAAACUGUGACGAGUACAGAAUCCUGUAUAUGGUAUGAUUUUCUUAGACAUAAUACCUAUGAUAAAGUUUAACUUAAAAAUGAAGCACAGUAAGAAAUUAACAAUAACUAAUAAUAAAUUACAAGUAAAAUAAUACACCAUAAUAAAAGUUAUGUGAAUGACUUUAGGGCCCUUAUUAAGUAAAAUAAGUGUUACCUGAACACCAGCAUGGCAAUACCAUCACAGUCACUCUAACUGAGAUGGCGACUAAGUGACUAACAGGCGGGUAGGGUACACAACGAGGAGAUGCUGGACAAAGGGAUGAUUCGCAUCUCCCAUGCAUGGAUUGGAGUAAAAUGAGGCAAUAGUUCAUCACACUACUCAGAACGGUGUGCAAUUUAAAACUUAUAAAUUGUUUAUUUCUGUAAUUCUCCAUUUAAUA